rfam:Rosellinia necatrix DNA, scaffold: Contig20, strain: W97.
GCUGGCAUCGUAUAGUGGUUAGUACGGCUCGUUGUGGCCGAGCAAACGCAUGUUCGAUUCAUGCUGUCAGCA